UAUAUAUAUAUAUAUAUAUAGAGUUGAGCUAUGAUACUUUUACAAGUAUCACCAUCAUGAUGCUAUUAGGUUUUAAGCCAUUGGAUCUACUUUUUGAUUAUUAAUAGCCCUUGGAUUAAAUACUAUUUCACCUACCACCAUCAUCUCAACCUCACAUCUCUCCAUCCAAGGGCUAAAAACACACAAGUAUCACCCCCAUGAUACUUUUACAAGUAUUCUAGCCCUACUCUAUN
rnacentral:lncRNA from 1 species